AGUGAACGCUGGCGGCAGGCCUAACACAUGCAAGUCGAGCGGCAGCGCGGGGGCAACCCUGGCGGCGAGCGGCGGACGGGUGAGGAAUUCGUCGGAAUCUGCCUUUUCGUGGGGGAUAACGUAGGGAAACUUACGCUAAUACCGCAUACGUCCUACGGGAGAAAGUGGGGGACCGCAAGGCCUCACGCAGAAAGAUGAGCCGACGACCGAUUAGCUAGUUGGUGGGGUAAAGGCCCACCAAGGCGACGAUCGGUAGCUGGUCUGAGAGGAUGAUCAGCCACACUGGGACUGAGACACGGCCCAGACUCCUACGGGAGGCAGCAGUGGGGAAUAUUGGACAAUGGGCGCAAGCCUGAUCCAGCAAUGCCGCGUGUGUGAAGAAGGCCUUCGGGUUGUAAAGCACUUUUGUCCGGAAAGAAAUCCCUGGAGCUAAUACCUUCGGGGGAUGACGGUACCGGAAGAAUAAGCAACGGCUAACUUCGUG
rnacentral:rRNA from 1 species